UACGUAGGGGGCUAGCGUUGUCCGGAUUUAUUGGGCGUAAAGAGCGUGUAGGCGGCCAGGUAGGUCCGUUGUGAAAACUCGAGGCUCAACCUCGAGACGUCGGCGGAAACCCUCUGGCUAGAGUCCGGAAGAGGAGAGUGGAAUUCCUGGUGUAGCGGUGAAAUGCGCAGAUAUCGGGAGGAACACCAAUUGCGAAGGCAGCUCGCUACACAUAUAUUGACUCUGAGGCACGAAAGCGUGGGGAUCAAACAGG
rnacentral:rRNA from 1 species